rnacentral:lncRNA from 1 species
CAAAAACAGCAAAAUGUCCUUAAAACAAAUAAUUCAGGGUCAGCAACCCAACAACGGUUGUCCGAUUCAUCUUAAAAUUUCAGAGCAGAUAAAUGUUGACCUGAUAAACAAUUUUACCCCAUGUCAGAUUUCCUCUAAAUGCUUUGGGUUUUGAGUUAUAAGCCAAAAACUGCAUUUACCCUAUGUUCUAUUUUUAGCCAUGGCG